rnacentral:rRNA from 1 species
AGAAUCAACGCUGGCGGCGUGCCUAACACAUGCAAGUCGCACGAGAAAGGGUAGCAAUACCUGAGUAAAGUGGCGCACGGGUGAGUAACACGUGAAUUAUCUACCUCCGAGUGGGGAAUAACUGAGAGAAAUCUUAGCUAAUACCGCAUAACACUUACGAGUCAAAGCAGCAAUGCGCUUGGAGAGGAGUUCGCGGCCGAUUAGUUAGUUGGCGGGGUAAUGGCCCACCAAGACGAUGAUCGGUAUCCGGCCUGAGAGGGCGCACGGACACACUGGAACUGAAACACGAUCCAGACUCCUACGGGAGGCAGCAGUGGGGAAUUUUGCGCAAUGGGGGAAACCCUGACGCAGCAACGCCGCGUGGAGGAUGAAAUAUCUUGGUAUGUAAACUCCUUUCGAUGGGGAAGAUUAUGACGGUACCCAUAGAAGAAGCCCCGGCUAACUUCGCGCCAGCAGCCGC